rnacentral:rRNA from 1 species
GACGAACGCUGGCGGCGUGCUUAACACAUGCAAGUCGAACGGAAAGGCCCUGCUUUUGUGGGGUGCUCGAGUGGUGAACGGGUGAGUAACACGUGAGUAACCUGCCCUUGACUUUGGGAUAACUUCAGGAAACUGGGGCUAAUACCGGAUAGGAGCUCCUGCUGCAUGGUGGGGGUUGGAAAGUUUCGGCGGUUGGGGAUGGACUCGCGGCUUAUCAGCUUGUUGGUGGGGUAGUGGCUUACCAAGGCUUUGACGGGUAGCCGGCCUGAGAGGGUGACCGGCCACAUUGGGACUGAGAUACGGCCCAGACUCCUACGGGAGGCAGCAGUGGGGAAUAUUGCACAAUGGGCGGAAGCCUGAUGCGGCAACGCCGCGUGCGGGAUGACGGCCUUCGGGUUGUAAACCGCUUUCGCCUGUGACGAAGCGUGAGUGACGGUAAUGGGUAAAGAAGCACCGGCUAACUACGUG